AUACGGAGGAUGCAAGCGUUAUCCGGAUUUAUUGGGUUUAAAGGGUGCGUAGGCGGAUGAUUAAGCGUGAGGUGAAAUGCCACUGCUCAACAGUGGAACUGCCUCGCGAACUGGUUGUCUUGAAUGCUCCUGCCGUGGGAGGAAUGUGUGGUGUAGCGGUGAAAUGCAUAGAGAUCACACAGAACACCGAUUGCGAAGGCAUCUCACGAAGGGGUGAUUGACGCUGAGGCACGAAAGCGUGGGGAUCAAACAGGAUUAGAUACUCUGGUAGUCCACGCAGUAAACGAUGAUAACUAACCGCUGGGUCGUAGUGAUUCAGUGGCCAAGCGAAAGCGAUAAGUUAUCCACCUGGGGAGUACGACCGCAAGGUUGAAACUCAAAUGAAUUGACGGGG
rnacentral:rRNA from 1 species